rnacentral:rRNA from 1 species
AUACGGAGGGUGCAAGCGUUACUCGGAAUCACUGGGCGUAAAGCGCGCGCAGGCGGCUAUUUAAGUUGGAUGUGAAAGCCUAUGGCUCAACCAUAGAACUGCAUCCAAAACUAUUUAGCUAGAGUGUGGGAGAGGAAGAUGGAAUUAGUUGUGUAGGGGUAAAAUCCGUAGAGAUAACUAGGAAUACCAAAAGCGAAGGCAAUCUUCUGGAACACUACUGACGCUGAGGCGCGAAAGCGUGGGGAGCAAACGGGAUUAGAAACCCGAGUAGUCC